GCAACGUUGGUAUGAUCACACGCCGUUUUAACAUAGCACGGGAGCACACGUAAAUAUACAAACAUAAAUAUUCAUAAUCCCUCGUUGGGCGGUCGUUCCGGACGUAUCCCCGAUCUAAUCGACUUAUCGAUACAUCGACCCUGUUUAGCCCUUCCAAAAUAUCGAAUUUCAGUGUAUCGAAGGCAAACUGCGGUCGACACACAGGCACAAUUAUCGCAUUGUUAUUGCAAUCUGUUGCGAGGCGCAGUUAGUCUUCGUUGCCGCUCAAUUGAAUGUUUCGCUGUUCCGUCCCUCCGGCCCUGCGUCCAUCCCCUUUUAUCACCGAUCCACACACGUGCCCCCCCCCCCACUCUCUCCAACCUUCCCUCGGCAGUCGCGAGUUUUGCGUGCUUUCGAUAUGUCUGGGGGUCGUGGAGCGGGGUUUGACUUUCAGACGACAAUGGGUGUAAUUACAAAAGUUUCGGGAUGUUUGGGGGAGGUUGCGAUGAUAUUUGGGGCGUUUGGAUCUAGAUAGAGCCGACACUUGGAUAAAAAGAUGGUUGGGAGCUGGUACUGCGGUUGGGUGUUAGGCGUUUGGGCCGUAAUCUUAAAGCGUUGUUCUCAAACUUUGCUUGGUUUAAGACUCGAACUGCUUAUAUACUGAAUAAGCAGUAGCGUUUCCUGCGUGAAUGGAUGGGAGCACUGCCUCUCCAAGGAAACGUGGGCGAGAAUAAUUAUUUUUAGUUUUCAAAGUGCAUCAUGCGUGACUUUGGACGCGCAAAAUGAGUGGGAGGUAUAAACAUACCAGUGCAAGUCGUUAUUUAGAGUGGAAUGUGAGUGUUGCAUACACAAAACAUGAAGGCGCACCGGUUUUCCAUAAGUUUGCAGCAUGCCUACCCUGCAAGAUUUGGGGUUUAUUGUCGCUUGGUAUACCUAUAUGUUAUGCUAUGCCAUAUUUAUUUGGUGUCUGGUUACCCUGCCACACGAAGAUUUGCAAAUAGAGUAUCAGACCGAUAUUAUAGCUCAUUAUGAGAAGGGAAGGGAUGGGAUCGAAAAAUAAAAAAUGGAGCAUUACGUAUUUUAUACAGUGCUUUAUACUUUCAAUAAAACAUUAUCAAAUUUUCCGAUUUUUUUUUGUAUCUCC
rnacentral:lncRNA from 1 species